UACGGAAUGUGCAAACGUUAUUCGGAAUCACUGGGCUUAAAGAGUCCGUAGGCGGCCUGUUAGGUGAGGUGUGAAAUCCCCCGGCUCAACCGAGGAAUUGCGCUUCAAACCGGCAGGCUUGAGGAGGAUAGAGGUGGGCGGAACUGAUGGGUGGAGCGGUGAAAUGCGUUGAUAUCAUCAGGAACACCGGAGGCGAAAGCGGUCCACUGGGUCCUUUCUGACGCUGAGGGACGAAAGCUAGGGAGCGAACGGG
rnacentral:rRNA from 1 species